GACAGGUUCGCCCAGGAGGGUCUCAGCCCGGCCUACUGCGCCCCAUCAAGCCAGGACAGGUUCGCCCAGGAGAGUCUCAGCCCCGCCUAGUGCCUCCCAUCCAUCCAGGACAGGUUCGCCCAGGACAGUCCCAACCCGGCCUAGUGCCUCCCAUCCAGCCAGGACAGGUUCGCCCAGGAGAGUCUCAGCCCGGCCUAGUGCCUCCCAUCUAUCCAGGACAGGUUCGCCCAGGAGAGUCCCAGCCAGGCCUAGUGCCUCCCAUCUAUCCAGGACAGGUUCGCCCAGGAGAGUCCCAGCCAGGCCUAGUGCCUCCCAUCUAUCCAGGACAGGUUCGCCCAGGAGAGUCUCAGCCAGGCCUAGUGCCUCCCAUCUAUCCAGGACAAGUUCGCCCAGGAGAGUCCCAGCCAGGCCUAGUGCCUCCCAUCUAUCCAGGACAGGUUCGCCCAGGACAGUCACAACCUGGCCUAGUGCGUCCCAUCCAGCCAGGACAGGUUCGCCCAGGACAGUCCCACCCGGCCUAGUACGCCCCAUCCAGCCAGGCCAGGUUCGCCCAGGAGAGUCUCAG